UACGUAGGGCGCAAGCGUUAUCCGGAAUUAUUGGGCGUAAAGAGCUCGUAGGCGGUUUGUCGCGUCUGCCGUGAAAGUCCGGGGCUCAACUCCGGAUCUGCGGUGGGUACGGGCAGACUAGAGUGAUGUAGGGGAGACUGGAAUUCCUGGUGUAGCGGUGGAAUGCGCAGAUAUCAGGAAGAACACCAAUGGCGAAGGCAGCUCUCUGGGACGGUACUGACGCUGAGACGCGAAAGCGUGGGGAGCGAACAGG
rnacentral:rRNA from 1 species